UCCGUAGGGUGCGAGCGUUGUCCGGAAUCACUGGGCGUAAAGGGUGCGUAGGCCGCACGGUAAGUCAGAGGUGAAAUCCCGGAGCUCAACUCCGGAAUGGCCUCCGAUACUGCCGUGCUCGAGGACUGGAGAGGAGUCUGGAAUUCACAGUGGAGCAGUGAAAUGCGUGGAUAUUGUGAGGAACACUAGUGGCGAAGGCGAGACUCUGGACAGUUCCUGACGCUGAGGCACGAAGGCCAGGGGAGCAAACGGG
rnacentral:rRNA from 1 species